rnacentral:lncRNA from 1 species
AAGCAACAUGAUGCAUAUCUCUCUGUCCCAGUUGACCAUGUUGUUCCUGAACCUGGGUCCAGCCUACUGACCUCUUUCGAGAAGUGGCACGAAGCAGCUGACACCAAAUCCUGCUGUGAUUACUCCCUCCACGUGGACAUCACAAGCUGGUACGAUGGCGUUCGGGAGGAGCUGGAGGUGCUGGUGCAGGACAAAGGCGUCAAUUCCUUCCAAGUCUACAUGGCCUAUAAGGAUGUCUACCAAAUGUC